rnacentral:rRNA from 1 species
AGUGAACGCUGGCGGUAGGCCUAACACAUGCAAGUCGAACGGCAGCACAGUAAGAGCUUGCUCUUACGGGUGGCGAGUGGCGGACGGGUGAGGAAUACAUCGGAAUCUACUUUUUCGUGGGGGAUAACGUAGGGAAACUUACGCUAAUACCGCAUACGACCUACGGGUGAAAGCAGGGGAUCUUCGGACCUUGCGCGAUUGAAUGAGCCGAUGUCGGAUUAGCUAGUUGGCGGGGUAAAGGCCCACCAAGGCGACGAUCCGUAGCUGGUCUGAGAGGAUGAUCAGACACACUAGAACUGAGACACGGUCCAGACUCCUACGGGAGGCAGCAGUGGGGAAUAUUGGACAAUGGGCGCAAGCCUGAUCCAGCCAUACCGCCUGGGUGAAGAAGGCCUUCGGGUUGUAAAGCCCUUUUGUUGGGAAAGAAAAGCAGCAGGUUAAUACCCCGCUGUUCUGACGGUACCCAAAGAAUAAGCACCGGCUAACUUCGUG